CCGAGAUCUACACGUAAGGAGUCGUCGGCAGCGUCAGAUGUGUAUAAGAGACAGGGUUGAAGCAUGACCGUAAGGACAUGUGGACAGUAUGGGAGUGAGAAUGUUGGCAUGAGUAGCGAGAUGUGGGUGAGAAUCCCACAGGCCGUAAACCCAAGGUUUCCAGGGGAAGGUUCGUCCGCCCUGGGUUAGUCGGGACCUAAGCUGAGGCCGAAAGGCGUAGGUGAUGGACAACAGGUUGAUAUUCCUGUACUACCGAUAACCGUUUGAGAGAAGGGAUGACACAGUAGGAUAAGCUAAGCACACUGUUGGUUAUGUGUGCCCAAGCAUUGAGGCAGUCAAAGUAGGCAAAUCCGCUUUGAUAAUGCUGGGAUGUGAUGGGGAGCGAAAUUUAGUAGCGAAGUAGCUGAUUUCACACUGUCAAGAAAAGUCUCUAUCGAGGUUAAAGGUACCCGUACCGCAAACCGACACAGGUGGGUGAGGAGAGUAUCCUAAGGCCAGCGAGAGAACUGUUGUUAAGGAACUCGGCAAAAUGACCCCGUAACUUAGGGAUAAGGGGUGCCACCAUCAGGUGGCCGCAGAGAAUAGGCCCAAGCGACUGUUUACCAAAAACAUAGGUUUCUGCUAAGUCGCAAGACGAUGUAUAGGAGCUGACGCCUGCCCGGUGCUGGAAGGUUAAGGGGAUCUGUUAGAGCAAUCGAAGCAGUGAACUUAAGCCCCAGUAAACGGCGGCCGUAACUAUAACGGUCCUAAGGUAGCGAAAUUCCUUGUCGGGUAAGUUCCGACCCGCACGAAAGGCGUAACGAUUUGGGCACUGUCUCAACAACAGACUCGGUGAAAUUGUAAUUCCGGUGAAGAUGCCGGAUACCUGCGACAGGACGGAAAGACCCCAUGGAGCUUUACUGUAGCUUGACAUUGGGUCUUGGUACUACAUGUACAGGAUAGGUGGGAGGCUUUGAAACCAGGACGCCAGUUUUGGCGGAGCCAUCCUUGGGAUACCACCCUUGUAGUACUGGGACUCUAACCAUAGGCCAUGAAUCUGGUCUUGGGACACUGUCAGGUGGGCAGUUUGACUGGGGCGGUCGCCUCCCAAAAGGUAACGGAGGCGCUCAAAGGUUCUCUCAGUACGGUCGGAAAUCGUACGUAGAGUGUAAAGGCAAAAGAGAGCUUGAUUGCAAGACAUACAGGUCGAGCAAGGAUGAAAAUCGGACUUAGUGAUCCGGUGGUUCUGCGUGGAAGGGCCAUCGCUCAACGGAUAAAAGCUACCCUGGGGAUAACAGGCUUAUCUCCCCCAAGAGUCCACAUCGACGGGGAGGUUUGGCACCUCGAUGUCGGCUCAUCACAUCCUGGGGCUGUAGUAGGUCCCAAGGGUUGGGCUGUUCGCCCAUUAAAGUGGUACGCGAGCUGGGUUCAGAACGUCGUGAGACAGUUCGGUCCCUAUCCGUCGCAGGCGUAGGAAAUUUGAGAAGACCUGUCCUUAGUACGAGAGGACCGGGAUGGACGUACCUCUGGUGUACCAGUUG
rnacentral:rRNA from 1 species